CCCCCUCGAGGUCAGAGAUGGACCCGCGUCUGAUUAGCUAGUUGGUAAGGUAACGGCUUACCAAGGCGACGAUCAGUAGCCGACCUGAGAGGGUGACCGGCCACAUUGGGACUGAGACACGGCCCAAACUCCUACGGGAGGCAGCAGUGGGGAAUAUUGCACAAUGGGGGAAACCCUGAUGCAGCGACGCCGCGUGGAGGAAGAAGGUCUUCGGAUUGUAAACUCCUGUUGUUGAGGAAGAUAAUGACGGUACUCAACAAGGAAGUGACGGCUAACUACGUGCCAGCAGCCGCGGUAAAACGUAGGUCACAAGCGUUGUCCGGAAUUACUGGGUGUAAAGGGAGCGCAGGCGGGAAGACAAGUUGGAAGUGAAAUCCAUGGGCUCAACCCAUGAACUGCUUUCAAAACUGUUUUUCUUGAGUAGUGCAGAGGUAGGCGGAAUUCCCGGUGUAGCGGUGGAAUGCGUAGAUAUCGGGAGGAACACCAGUGGCGAAGGCGGCCUACUGGGCACCAACUGACGCUGAGGCUCGAAAGUGUGGGUAGCAAACAGGAUUAGAUACCCUGGUAGUCCACACCGUAAACGAUGAUUACUAGGUGUUGGAGGAUUGACCCCUUCAGUGCCGCAGUUAACACAAUAAGUAAUCCACCUGGGGAGUACGACCGCAAGGUUGAAACUCAAAGGAAUUGACGGGGGCCCGCACAAGCAGUGGAGUAUGUGGUUUAAUUCGACGCAACGCGAAGAACCUUACCAAGUCUUGACAUCCUGCGACGGUGCUGGAAACAGUACUUUCCUUCGGGACGCAGAGACAGGGACGGUAUCGAUAAGCUUGAU
rnacentral:rRNA from 1 species